rnacentral:rRNA from 1 species
CCUACGGGGGGCAGCAGUGGGGAAUAUUGCACAAUGGGCGCAAGCCUGAUGCAGCCAUGCCGCGUGUGUGAAGAAGGCCUUCGGGUUGUAAAGCACUUUCAGCGGGGAGGAAGGCGUUAAGGUUAAUAACCUUGUCGAUUGACGUUACCCGCAGAAGAAGCACCGGCUAACUCCGUGCCAGCAGCCGCGGUAAUACGGAGGGUGCAAGCGUUAAUCGGAAUUACCGGGCGUAAAGCGCACGCAGGCGGUCUGUCAAGUCGGAUGUGAAAUCCCCGGGCUCAACCUGGGAACUGCAUUCGAAACUGGCAGGCUAGAGUCUUGUAGAGGGGGGUAGAAUUCCAGGUGUAGCGGUGAAAUGCGUAGAGAUCUGGAGGAAUACCGGUGGCGAAGGCGGCCCCCUGGACAAAGACUGACGCUCAGGUGCGAAAGCGUGGGGAGCAAACAGGAUUAGAUACCCGAGUAGUC